UCUUCAUUUCACGCGCUCUCUCUUAGCGGUCAGAGUGGCGAAAGAGUGUGUGAAAUGAAGAGA
rnacentral:pre_miRNA from 1 species